rnacentral:rRNA from 1 species
AAGGGCACCACAAGAACGCGUGGAGCAUGUGGCUUAAUUUGACUCAACGCGGGAAAUCUUACCGGGUCCAGACACACUGAGGAUUGACAGAUUACAAUAUACAGAUCUUACAUGAUUAUGUGAUAGGUGGUGCAUGGCCGUUCCUAGUUCGUGGAGUGAUCUGUCUGCUUAAUUGCGUUUCACUGACGGCUCAUAUGAUUUUAUGGUGUGUCGCGUCUCAGCUGAUCACCGCAUCAAUGAGCCUUGAAAGCAACGAACGUGACCGCAACCUCUUGUUAUUAAUUUAAACUAGAGGGACCGCUGUUACUUUCUUAAACCAGAGGAAGGUUGCGGCAAUAACAGGUCUGUGAUGCCCUUAGAUGUUCCGGGCUGCACACGUGCUACAAUGAUUAUUGCAGUGUGCAUCUCAUACACACACACCUAACCUAUGUUAGGUACAGCCUACUUUGAGAGGGAGUUAGGCAAUCAAUUAGAAGUAAUGAUUCCCAUACACAGCACACAUAUAUACGGCAUCUUUACCCGGCCCGCCUUGUUGCAGUGUCUCUGUGCGUAUUUGAUGUUUACCGUAUGUGCAAUUGUCAAUUCAUGGUGGGGACAGACCAUUGUUAAUUGUUGGUCUCGGUCUUAACUAGGAAUGCCUUGUACGGGUCUUUGGUUCAACAAACCACCCGGAAUACGUCCCUGCCCUUUGUACACACCGCCCGUCGCUCUUACCGAUGGACUUCUCUGUGAGUAUGAGGGACCGAUGGAAACUUAAACGAACAGUGUGGUCUAAAGGAAAGAGAAGUCGUAACAAGGCAUCGGUAGGUGAACCUGCAGAAGGAUCA